GACAAGAACCUGGAAAACAUAGGAGACCAACAAUUAAAUAAAUAGUAAGCUUGAGAAAACAAUUCACAUUGGCGGUAAAAAAUGUAAACUGAUUAUCUUUGCCUAGAUAGUCUAAUGCACUCUGUGCUAAUUUGCAGGAUAAAUAAGAGAAUGAAUAUCCAGAAACACUACAAGGAUGAAAGUAAAGAAAUUAACUAAAAUUACCUCCUUGUUUUUAUCUCCAGCAACAACAGAACCUUUUGAGUCAUAUGCUUCAAAUUUCUGCAAGUAAUAUAACAUCAAUUCACUGUCCUAAGUUUUUGAAGUCCCAGUACUCAUGAAACCACAGGUGGAAAUUUUAAUGUGUAAAGCAUACUUGU
rnacentral:lncRNA from 1 species